rnacentral:rRNA from 1 species
UACGUAGGUGGCGAGCGUUGUCCGGAUUUAUUGGGUUUAAAGGGUGCGUAGGCGGCUUUGUAAGUCAGUGGUGAAAUACUCCAGCUUAACUGGAGGGGUGCCAUUGAUACUGCGGAGCUUGAGUACAGAUGAGGUAGGCGGAAUUGACGGUGUAGCGGUGAAAUGCAUAGAUAUCGCCAAGAACACCGAUAGCGAAGGCAGCUUACUGGGCUGUAACUGACGCUGAUGCACGAAAGUGUGGGGAUCAAACAGG